rnacentral:lncRNA from 1 species
CACCAAACGAAUGGAUAACAACUGUCAUAGUCCUGACUUGGUACAGGCAUUUUCUUAUGUAGAAAAUGGUGGAUCUGAACUAUAGAGGGAUCUAACUACCUGUUUUACUGGAAAAUAUAAAAAAAAAGUUUUAUACAUAGCUUUAAAAAUAUAAGUCAACAACUGUAAGAGUAUCAACUAUGUUGUCAAAAUAUAUAUUCAUUAUAUAUAACAACAUUACAGCUUCAACUAUCCCUGUUUUACUGGAAAAUAUAAAAAAAAAGUUUUAUACAUAGCUUUAAAAAUAUAAGCCAACAACUGUAAGAGUAUCAACUAUGUUGUCAAAAUAUAUAUUCAUUAUAUAUAACAACAUUACAGCUUCAACAUUAAAAGCUCGUCAGUAAAGAACAAUUUGGACAAUACAAAGUACUUUUUCCCUCUGCUUUGGCUCGAACUAUGAUAUCAUAUGAUUUUAGUCAAAUGGUAAAUAAUAAGUUUUUUAUGUUUGGUAUUUAAGUAUAUCUUAAAUAUCUCUCAUUUAAAUAUUUUGUAUCAAAGAUAGACAACUUUGCUCAGAGUAUAGUUGUAUCCUCUCCUUUGCUAUAGAUACGGUACAAGAAUGUGUGAGCUAUGUCGGAAUUGUCAGCCAUCUGGCCAUUGCUACAGAAAAAUUACUAAUGUAUGCAUGCAACGUUAAUUAGUAGAUACGAGGUCACAUGAUUAAUUAAAUGACAAAUAUCUCAACUUUUAGUAGAUACCUUUCUGUGAAGGUAUAAUUAGAUACAGUGAAAAGUAUAAUAAUACAUUAUGGUAAUACAUAAACUUCAUUGCAUUCCAUUUGAUUAACUCAAUGGAUUAAAACACGAAAAUAUUUUUUCAUGGCACAUAUUUCGAUCUGAAUUUCGUCUUUAGCAAACUCUGGAACAUAUCUGUAUAUCAUAUAAUUGAUAUUCAAAUCUGUUAGGGUUAAUUCAUCAAUUUUGGCUUAUUUAUUGCGUUUUGAAAUAAUACAUUAUAAGAUAGCUCACACAGAUUGCAAAUACCAAUACAUUAAGAUAAACGGUGUUGCUGUUGUACUUUAAUGAUUUUUCAGACCUGUUGAAAUCAAAUGAAGUUUAAUUACAUCUAGCCGACCUUUAAACAAUACAAGAUAUUACCUGCUUAAUUGUGUACUACUUUAAAUUGAUAAAACACGAAACACAAGGAUAACAGGAGCGGGAGACGCCAUGUUUAAGUAACCCCAACCUAAAUGAACCGGAAGUUAUUUUUCUCUACGUCUUUUAAUUUGUUGAUUCACUUAAGUUUUAAAUUAAAUGUAUAGAUUACAGAGUUUAAACUCUUAUAUACUACUAGCGCCUACUGUUGAAUGACAGAAAACCUACCAGUCUUGAUCAGUGCUUUAAGUUUUAUUUUUAUCUUUGCUUUAGUUUUGCCAUGAUGCGAUUAUAAUAAAUUAAAAAAAAAUAUGUUUUUCUCAUCUUAGUCUUAUACAGGGUAAACUUUAUAAUUUUCAGUCUUUUUUUUUCUUUUUUUUUUUGAGAGAGAGAAGUCAAAAAUAUGUUUAGGGUACAAUGUAAUGUUGUACAAAUAUAAAAUAAUUCCAAUCUAUAAUUGUGGUGGUUUUUUUUACAUUUAGUGGUGGAAAUCAUGCUUUUGUGCCUCCUCGUUUUCAACUUUUUAAUUCUGUGGUAGUCCUACAUUUUUUAAUCAUGAUAUUGAAAACUCCAUUGUCAUAUUUAAAAUUUUUCCUGCAGUAUUAAAUAAUACAAACUACAGCAACUUUUGGGAAUUUUUGAACCUCAAUGCUCUUCAACUUUGUACUUGUUUGGCUUUAAAAAUAUUUUGAUAUGAGCGUCACUGCUGAGUCUUAUGUAGACGAAACGCGCGCCUCGCAUACUAAAUUAUAAUCCUGGUACCUUUGAUAACUACUUAACAUAUCAUAUUGUAUGCACAUGUUGGCAUAUACAGUCUUAGUUUGCAUCGAAAUUUUACAUAAACCUACACGUCCAAAUAAGUAAAAUAGCACGAUAGAAAUAGGAGACAGUAGGGGUAACCCGACUUAAAACCAAAAUAAUCUGACAAUGAGGAAAUUCUAAUUUGAAAAGAUACCAUACUUUAAUCUAAUUCUUGGACACCAGAAAAAGGUGGCAUUUAUAUUUUACUGAUGUUUGAAUCUAGAAUAUGCAAAUCGCAUGCAUUCCAAAGGAAACGAGACCGCGGGUGCAUCGCCAGGCUAGGUAUUCCGUCAUUUCCUGCCAUGCAAAUCCACACUUAGUCAAAAUGUCACAAUAACAAGUAGGACUCAAUUAGCAAUUUUUCAACUAAUCGAAAGAUCUAAGUCAUCUAAAAUCUGUCUGUUGUGAUUUGAGACACAUAUGCACCGUAUAGUCAACCAAUUCGUGAUGAUGACCAUCAACUUCGUGAAGUGUCGAUUUUAGUUCGUCAUAAUACUGCAGUCCAAAAGCUUAUGCAGCUGCAACAACAAAUAACCUUCACUAAAAGUCAUUCAUUCAUCAGGUUUGAAAGUCAUCCCUGCAUCAGCUUUGAAAGUCAUCUCUUUGUCAGCUUGACCGUUAAACACCUUCUACCUUGCUGAUAAUCGUUAACUAACUCCCUCAGGUUAAGUUGACCUCAGAUUGAUUUGGGUGUUAUAAUAUAUUAGGUUCAUCCAUCUUACAUUUUACUAAGCAUUUUUGAAGGCGAUUUAUUUCCCCACCACGCAUACUUAAUAGUUUGCUUUUUCACCUGCUUUUGGACAUCCAUAUUUUGAUUUAUUGAUGAUAUUAGUAAAUGCAUAUCAUAACAGAGAAUUAAAAACCUGUGAGGGAAAAUUUUAACACAAUAAUCUUUAUAGAUAUAUAAAUCCGAAGUGAUUUCUCAACGUUUUAGGCAGUGUUGAAAUUUCUGUUUAGGCCCUCUUGCAUUUAAUGUUUUCAACUAAAACUAACCAACUGAUCAAGAGGCUUGCUGUAAAGGUACUUGUAUUUAUAUUUUACCUUUCUUUAAGACUAAAUUUUAAAACUUUUUAACAAUAGUAAAACAAAUAUUAGGGAAGAAUCAUGAAAUAUAGUUUGUCUUAUUCAUAACAACUGAGUCCCCAUGUAUUAUUGUAGAUGUUGAGGAAAAUAAAAAGUUCCAGUUCUCUCCAAAGAUUAGAUGAAUAGCUGUAUUAAUAUAUACAAGACUGUCUACUAAGUAAGGUCAUUAUUUAAAGCCAACAUACACCUUAUAUAUUAUAACUGUACUAAACAAACCCAUUGCACUAAACAACAACAAAUUUACGAGUCUGAAUGCCCUGAUGACGUGAUAAUAAUGAUUACAAUAAAACCGAUUAUUUUUUUAAGUUUAUGAUAUUUUUUAAUUCAAUUUUUCUACACAUGAACUUCCUAAGUUAAUAAUGGAUUUAGCCAUCGCUCAUUCAGCUCUCUGUUAAAUAAACUGCGUUUGAAGGUCAUUUUGUGGAUAUAAAAAAUUAUCAAUUACCAAUACAAAAUGUCAUAUUUCCAUAAUCUAGC